CUUGCAAAACUUCAAAAGGUUGAAAAAACAGAAAACUAGAGAUAGGAAUCCAUCACGGUUUGCUGGCUUUUGAGCUAAGUGUACCAGCAAAGUCGUGAGGAGUGAUCUUUCUGAUAUAGCCCCGUGGUGAAUCUCCAAGGCCCUGGCAUACUGUGGCCAGAAGAAAAGAAAGAGGGAAAGAAAGUCAAGUGAGCAGCUGGAGGAAGCUCCGAGUGAACCAGACUGAGAUUCCCUCAGAAAGAAAUCAAUGGCAGAAGCUCCGAUCCCCAAACGUUCUUCCCGCUCCCCCUCCCCCACGCCAGCGCCCCAGCCGCAGCCCCCAGCCCCCCCAGCCCCGGAUCGCGCAGUGGAGGAUUCGGCUGGAAAUCCCCGGGGCAGCCGGCCCCUCUCAGCCUACCUCGGUAUUGCAAGCAGUGGAAGCGGCGGCGGGCUCGGCCGAUCACCAUCUCCCAUGGCUCCGCGUGCCUCCCGCGUGUGAAUGGAAAAAAUGUGGGGCUGCCCUGUUUAGCCCCGGAGUUUGCCUGACCUCUGGAUGAGCCGCUGGAGUCAGUGUCAUUGGGUAUUAAGGGAUCAUGUGACUGCAGAUGAAAAUAAAAUCCUUCAAAGUUUGCAUUUAA